ACCAGUAAACUAAUCGGAAAAAGGAAAAGCCAGUACACGCCCCGGAUAUGUGAACCACCGUCAUCCACACGCCGCCGCCGCUCAUACGCAAGCGGCUGCAAAUUGGAAAAAGGAGAAAUAAUAUUUCUUCCCCUCCGCCUCUGCCUCGCCCCCGUAUCCAGUUAGCUUUCCAAGUUGGCUGUAGUUUAAAUUUCUCAAAGCUCUAUGGAUCACGAUUCUCGUCUUGAUAAUCCAAAUAUUCCUACCCGUCGAUUAAUCCCUAGUCAACGGCCCCAAUUCACUCUCAUCACUGUUCUUUACUUCCCCACUGCUCAAUUCACCAUUUCCCUGUCCACACUCACACCCUCUGCAAAGAUUCAUCAUGGCAGUUGAGAUCGCGUUAGUAUGUCUGAAUGGUGCUGCUGGUUUUCUGGGCCAGCAGUUGGUUCCUGUGCUUCUGGGCUUUUGCACAUGCGGGGAGAUCGAUAAGGAAAAGCUCGAGAAGUUGAGAGAAACAUUGAAUACUGUUAAUGGCUUGCUCAAUGGCGCCGAGGAGAAGCAAAUAACUGAAGCUGGGAGAGAUCUGUUUUACUGUGAUGGUUCUGAAGACUUGGAUUGCGGAUGCUAAAGAAGCUAUCUAUGAAGCUGAAGACUUGUUGAUUGAGAUUGAUAAUGAAGCUCGAUGAAUAGAGUUGGUAGCUGGCUCUCAAUCUGGCAUGUAUCAAGUGCGAAACUUUUUUUAUCUCCUUUCUUUGUCCUUUAAGCAAGAACGAGGAAGGAGAGAUGGCCCAUAAAUUAGAAAAGAUUUUCGCAAAACUUGAAAGGUUAGAAACAAAGCUCGUAGCCUCCAUCUGAUGAAGCAACAGCCAUCUCAUGAGCGCGUGCCUUCGACUUCUCUGCUAGGUCACACUCGAGUUUAGGGUAGGGACCAAUCUAAGGAGGCCAUAAAGAAGUUGCUUCUAUCCGAUGAUGCAGAAGGAGAAAGUUUGCAGGUAAUUCCCAUAGUGGGCAUGCCUGGGAUUGGCAAGAUUUGUCUACCAUGGUGAUGACGUGCGAAAGUGGUUUGAUCUGAAAGCAUGGGUCUCUGUUUCACAAGAUCUUAAUGUUUUCAACCUAACAAAAAUCAUUCUCAAAGAGCUUGGGUUUUUGGAUUGUGAUCUCAUGCCUCUGAUCUGAAAGCAUCGGUCUCUGUUUCACAAGAUCUUAAUGUUUUCAACCUAACAAAAAUCAUUCUCAAAGAGCUUGGGUUUUUGGAUUGUGAUCUCAUGCCUCUGAUCUGAAAGCAUGGGUCUCUGUUUCACAAGAUCUUAAUGUUUUCAACCUAACAAAAAUCAUUCUCAAAGAGCUUGGGUUUUUGGAUUGUGAUCUCAUGCCUCACAGUAGUCUUCACUGUAAACUCCGGGAGAUAUUGAUGGGCAACAAGUUAUUUCUUGGUUUAGAUGAUUUUUGGAAUGAUGAUCCAGAGCAAAGCAAGUUUUUAAUCACACCUUUGAUGGCCGGGGCAAAGGUAAGUAAGAUUAUCAUUAUACCACUACACGAGAUAAGCAUAGUAUUAUUAGUAUUGUCUUUAUUUUUUUGCAAACUUUUCAUUUUAUUCCCUUAUAGAAAAUAAACAAAUAAUUGUUGGUUGUUGUUUUUAGAAUAUAUAUUUAGUGAUGCAAAUUAAAGUGUUUAUUCACUAAUUGAAGAAAUGUUUCACUCUAUCAUAAUAAAAAAAUAUAAGGGUUUGUUUUUAACUGUAAAUUUAUUUAGGGGUCUUUUAAAAUCUAAAAUAAAUACUGACGAAUGAAGAAAAAUAUUGAAUAGCAACAUGUGAGAUUUGCAAGAUGACCGGGGUCUACAUGUUCUAAAAAUAACUUAUUAUUGUUUGCCGCAACGUCUAAAACGAUGUUUUGCUUAUUGUGUAAAUUUUUCUAAAUGUUAUAAAUUUUACAAGGAGGAUGCAAUUCUUUUAUGGAUGGUUGCGGGUUUUUUGCUUGCUUAUGGUGAAAAUAAAAUGAUAAAAGAAACAUGAUACAUAUAUUUUGAAGAUCUUGUAUUAAUUUUCUUUUUUGAACAAGUGAUAACUCAUUUUUAUUAGUAAUGCAUGAUCUCACAAAUGACUUGAUAAAAUUUGUGUACGGAGAGUUUGUUGUUUAUUUACAUGAUAGUGAUUCUUGGAAGGUUUCUCAAAAGACUUGUAUUUUAUCUAAUACAAGAACUAGAUUUGAAGAUCUAGACAAUCUCGUGUGUCUCUAAAAAAAAUUAAUUCAUUAUUUCACAGUGUUUAAUGAUUGAAGAAGAAUAAAGAUAAAAUUAGUGAUUCUUUUGCUCAUUUGAUCCUCUAGCACUUAAUCUCUACAUCAUGAGAGAGAGAGAAAUAUUGAACAGCAACAUGUGGGAUUUGCAAGAUUGAGUGUUAGAACAUCAAAUGAGUAAAAGAGUCUCACCAAUUUUGUCUCUACUCUUCUUCAAUCAUUGAACACUGUGAAGUAAUGAAUUAAUUUUUUUUUAGAGGCAUACGAGAUUGUCUAGAUUUUCAGAUCUAAUUCUUGCAUAUGAUAAGUGACGAGUCUUCUUAGAAACCUUUCAAGAAUUACUAUCAUCUAAACAAACAGCAAACUCUCCAUACAUAAAUUUUGUUAAAGUCAUUUGUGAGAUUAUGCAUUAUGAAUAAUGGUGAGUUAUUACUUGUUCAAAAAAGAAUAUUGAUGCAAGAUCUUCAAAGUACCUGUAUCUUGUUUCUUUCAUCUCUUUAUUUCCAUUAUAAGCAAGCAGAAAAUCCUAGCCAUCCACAAAAGAGCUAUAUCCUCAUUGUGAAAUUUAUAACUUUUAGGAAAAAUUACACAAUAAACAAAACAUCGUUUUAGACGUUGCGGUAAAUAAUAAUAGGUCACUUUUAGAACAUGUAGACCUCGGUCAUCUCGCAAAUUUCACAUGUUGCUGUUCAAUAUUUUUUUUCAUUUGUCAGCAUUUAUUUUGGACUUUAAGAGACCCCAAGUAACUUUGCAAUUAAAAACAAACCCUUGCAUUUUCUUACUGUGGUGGAGUGAAACAUUUAUUCAAAUAGUAAACGGGCACUGAGAUUUGCAUCACUAAAUACAUAUUUUGAAAAUAACAACCAAUGCUUCUCACUAUUUAUUUCCUGCAAGGGAAUAUGAUGAAGAGUUCGUAAAAAAUUAGGAUGAAGAUUUUGCAAUAUUGAUGAUCCUCCGCUCUUCUAACAUAUUGAAAUGGUAAUCUUACUUCCCUCUGCCCCGGUCAUCAAAGGUGUGAUUAAAAAAUUUCGGACAGAAAUUAGUGUUGAAAGUUGAUGUCCAAGAUCAGAAAACCAUGACCAGUAUCAUCAAGACAGCUGUUUCUCUGUCAGGUAUUAGAAUCUUCUAUUCUAUGCUUAUUUUGAUUUUAAAAAAGUAAACUUGUAUGUGCAAUAAGUGGUUUGAUAAUAAAUAAAAUAAAAUGGGAUGACCUAUCAAUGAAGAAAGAUUUGACAAAUUAAAUGGGAUUUUGAUUCUUGCAACUGAAGGGCAAGAAAUCAGUAGAAAAAGGGACUUGAUCAAAAGUAGUUCCAUGGCCAGUAACUUCACUUGAUUGCCAAGUUCCAGAGUCAACAUAAUGGCCAUGAAGAAGAGGAUCCAACCACAAGUGUUUAUCUGGCAUGAAAGCCAUGAUCUUUCUGAUUGUGCUUGUAUAUAUGCAAUCACUUAUCUGAAGAGAUUCAAUAAGGGCGUGCUCGUACUCAAUGUUUCCACUGGAGUUUGACAGCUCGGAAAGCUACCUUGGCCGGCAAUUUCAUUGAAGCGUCGAGAGGAGAGUGAUCUAAGUCGAGACUUCAGGGUCAGGGGAGCCAUUCUCUUGAAGGGCUUUCCAUGCGUAGGCGUACAUGACAAGCAGAUAAAAGCAUAGGUUCACAGAACUUAGAAUACCUAACAACUUGUAAUAUUUGUCCAGAUGACUUGUAUUCAGAGUGUCAUGAAACCAACUGCCUGACAAAGUAAGAACAAGUGCCGCACUCAGGAAUUUCCCAACGCCAA